rnacentral:ncRNA from 1 species
GUUUGAAAAAGGCAAACCUAUCGAAAGGUAGGGGCGCAAAACUAUGGGUCUAAAUCGUUUUUACGAUAUGAUCGCCAGGUUGCCAAA